GGACUACACGGGUAUCUAAUCCUGUUUGCUCCCCACGCUCUCGUGCCUCAGUGUCAGUAUCUGUCCAGAAAGUCGCCUUCGCCACUGAUGUUCCUUCCGAUAUCUACGCAUUUCACUGCUACACCGGAAAUUCCACCUUCCUCUACAGUACUCUAGCUCAACAGUCUUAAGCGCCAUCCCCAGGUUAAGCCCAGGACUUUCACACCUAACUUAUCAAACCACCUACGCACCCUUUACGCCCAGUCAUUCCGAUUAACGCUCGCACCCUCUGUAUUACCGCGGCUGCUGGCAC
rnacentral:rRNA from 1 species